rnacentral:rRNA from 1 species
GAAAUAACAACUCGGGGCCUCACGGCUUACGAGAUUGCAAUGAGAACAAUUUAAAUCUCUUAGCGAGGAACAAUUGGAGGGCAAGUCUGGUGCCAGCAGCCGCGGUAAUUCCAGCUCCAAUAGCGUAUAUUAAAGUUGUUGCAGUUAAAAAGCUCGUAGUUGAAUUUCUGAUUAUGGAUGUAGCGGUUUCCGUUACAUUUGUAGUCAUCCACAUGAGAACCUUUCUCGGCCUUCACUGGUCGGUUGGGGGAUCAUGUACUUUACUUUGAAAAAAUACAGAGUGUUUCAGGCAGGCGUUUGCAUGAAUACACAAGCAUGGAAUAAUGGAAUAGGACUAGGGUCCAUUUAUUGGUUAUUGGACCAUAGUAAUGAUUAAUAGGGACAGUUGGGGGCAUUAGUAUUUAAUUGUCAGAGGUGAAAUUCUUGGAUUUAUUAAAGACUAACUUAAUGCG